CGGCACUAAGGGACGUGGGCAGUGGGCAUGGAGGGGGCCGGGCUGUGUGCGUUCGGCCCGCUGCUCCGAGCAUCCCUGAGCCUCACUGCGCGUCAAAUGGAACAGACUAAUGAAAUGGAUUAGGCUCUUAGCAGCACGUUUGCCCCGCAGACUGAUUUCCAUUGCCUGAAGAGUAAAUCGGGCUAUUCCCACGCUGCAAGAAUUCUCUGCUAGAAAUGGAGGCGAGGUCGGAGCUGAAGCUCACACGUUCUCGUCGGCAGCCAUCAGAUGGAAACGGCACUGGAUGGGAACAGACGGAGCGAGGGCCCCCGAAGCAGUGAGAGUCCCAGCACAGAACCUUCAUCUUCUGGCAUCGCUGUGUCCUUCCCUAUUUCUUAAAUGCCGCCUUUAGUAUUAAAUCACCUUGCCUCGCCCUGAGAAGCUCCACGUGCAGCCUGUCCCGCUGCUGCCCAGGGCUGCUGCAGGGGCACGCAGUCCCCAGCACAUUGCGCCCUGACGCGCACACGGCGGAUGCUGGGUAUUGUUGCUGCAAGAUUGCAAGCAGAGUGAUUUAUGGCUUUGGGAUUUUGUGACAUCUUUUUCUUGUUUAAUCAUCUCUGUCUCACCCAAGGUGCAAGACUGUGU